AAAUAGUAAAAUAUGUUGCCAAAAGACUCUUUUUUAACAAAAAUGCUCAGCUCGGGUAGAAUAUUUGUAGUUUUUGUUUUAAUUGAAAACAGUUAUCUGUCAAGCUGGCGGGUGAUUUAGUGAAACCGCAAACGCGAGAGUGACAUUUGAUUCUAAUUGAAUCAGACGUAUUGUCUUUCGACUGUUAUGGUUGGUUAAUGGUAAAUUUGGAGACUUCAAUGCUACCACGUGUGCUUGAGACGCGUUUAUUUUUGCAAAUCCGAACUUUAGAUCUGCCGGACUACAAAGAGGCAUUAUAUGCACGAACGCCUCAUCCUGCCCAAACGUCCGAUUCAUGAAGGAGAUCGGCGAAUCGCGCAAGACAAUAAUGACACAAUGCACGCGCGCGGUAAUCAUGUCUUGGACUAGAUUUAUCAGCAAACUGGUGGAGAGAUACUUUGAACGAUAACGGAAGGAUCCCCCAAAAAAACAAAGAUUCGUUGCCGGGUUUCUCGGAUUUCCAUCGCCGGUUCACCGGGUAAUCCUGACCGAGGGCUGCGCCGGAAUGACGAAGUGUCA